rnacentral:rRNA from 1 species
CUCGGCGCGCCUAGGUUACCCGGAUCCCCAUUAAGGCUAUCUGCCCGUGGUCAUGUUUCCUUAUUCGGAAAAUGGGGUUUUAGGAGGCGACUAUAUCUAAUUAUUUGAGUGAUUAGUCUCAACACUUUAGGAGACCCUCCAUGGUUUAUGCGCCUUAUUUGUAUUCGCGGUCUUGGAAGGUUCAAGGGUGGUAAUAUUUGUGGCAGGGAUAGGCAGGUUUUCACGUCGGGAUAAUGCUGUUUUAUGUCUCCCUGGACUUACCCUCCAUGGCUAUUCGCAAAUGUAACACCCUCCAUCUGUAAGGGGGAGACUGUAAUUUCCUUCCCGGGGUGUUAAAUUCCGAAAUAUCAACUCCUAUUUCUAAUAAUUUGGAGUUUCUUCACACCGGGGGGGAAACUUUAUCCCAGUGUCCCUAGACCAUAGCCAAGGGAUUGAGUACAGCUCUGAGGAGGUUCUUUUCUUUGAUUCUUAUGGGGUGAGUGGUCUAUUGCUCGUUAUUAGAUUGGCGGAGCUGAUUUUUUGUGGUUAAUUCUCGUAAUCCGAUUGAGUCAUUUCAGCCUGCUUAACUUAGCUUAUGCGGAGACCAUCCCUCGCGGCAGCUAGCUUCUUCGAGGGACUAUCGCCGUUAAGGCGACGGAUAUUGAGAGGCAAUAACAGGUCUGAGAUGACCUUAGAAUGUUCUGGGCCGCACGCGCGAUACAAUGAUGUAUUCAACGAGUAUAUAGCCUUGGCCGACAGAACCGGGUAAUCUUGGGAAAUUUCAUCGUGAUGGGGAUAGACCAUUGCAACUGUUGGUCUUCAACGAGGAAUUCCUAGUAAGCGCGAGUCAUCAGCUCGCGUCGAGUACGUCCCUGCUCUUUGUACACACCGCCCGUCGCUCCUCCUGAUUGAAUGGUCCGGUAAAGUGUUCGGAUGCCGGCGCCGGGGGCCGUUCGCGCGCCCCCGAGGUCGCGAGAAGUCCAUGGAACCUUAUCAUUUAGAGGAAGGAGAAGUCGUAACAAGGUACA